CAGCAGCCACGGGAAUACGUAGGUGGCAAGCGUUGUCCGGAAUUAUUGGGCGUAAAGGGCUCGCAGGCGGUUUCUUAAGUCUGAUGUGAAAGCCCCCGGCUCAACCGGGGAGGGUCAUUGGAAACUGGGAAACUUGAGUGCAGAAGAGGAGAGUGGAAUUCCACGCGUAGCGGUGAAAUGCGUAGAGAUGUGGAGGAACACCAGUGGCGAAGGCGACUCUCUGGUCUGUUACUGACGCUGAGGAGCGAAAGCGUGGGGAGCGAACAGGAUUAGAUACCCCUGUAGUCCCUGUCUCUUAUAC
rnacentral:rRNA from 1 species